rnacentral:rRNA from 1 species
AGAGUUUGAUCCUGGCUCAGGAUGAACGCUAGCGGCAGGCUUAACACAUGCAAGUCGAGGGGUAGAAGCAGCUUGCUGCUUUGAGACCGGCGCACGGGUGCGUAACGCGUAUACAAUCUACCUUUUACAGAGGGAUAGCCCAGAGAAAUUUGGAUUAAUACCUCAUAGUAUUUUCGAAUCGCAUGGUUUGAUUAUUAAAGUUCCAACGGUAAAGGAUGAGUAUGCGUCCCAUUAGCUAGAUGGUAAGGUAACGGCUUACCAUGGCAACGAUGGGUAGGGGUCCUGAGAGGGAGAUCCCCCACACUGGUACUGAGACACGGACCAGACUCCUACGGGAGGCAGCAGUGAGGAAUAUUGGACAAUGGGCGCAAGCCUGAUCCAGCCAUGCCGCGUGCAGGAAGACGGUCCUAUGGAUUGUAAACUGCUUUUAUACAGGAAGAAACACACCCUCGUGAGGGUACUUGACGGUACUGUAUGAAUAAGCAUCGGCUAACUCCGUGCCAGCAGCCGCGGUAAUACGGAGGAUGCAAGCGUUAUCCGGAAUCCUUGGGUUUAAAGGGUCC